CUUCUCUCACUUUUGCACAACUUUCUCCUCAUCUUAUAGGACACUGCAGCACUUCUGCUUUGUUGGCCGAGUUUCCACCGCGCGGAGCAACUUCGCUCUUAGUUUGACGCCACUCCUUCUAUUCCAUUCAUCGUAUUCUAUGUUGUUUUUUUUCUACACGGGAAAGGAGCCUAGAACGAGCACAAUCAGGUGGCCAUGACAAGAUUAUGAGAAGCCAGUGAGGUCUGCAAAAGCAGCCAGAAUAUCUUCAGAUCUGGACUCAUUGAUGGCCACUUCAGAACUCUCCAGCGUUUUGUAUUCAGCCAUUUUUGUGUGCUUUUUGAAGUAUGCUUUGGAUCGUUGUCCUGCUGGAAGACCCAUGACCUCUGACGGAGACCCAGCUUUCUGACACUGGGCCCUACAUUAUGCCCCAAAAUUAUUUGGUAGUCCUCAGAGGCAUCCAGUACCAGAAACAGCAAAGCAACCCCGAAACAUCAGUGAACCUCCACCAUGUUUGGCUGUAGGUAUGGUGUUCUUUUCCUUGAAGGCCUCAUUUAGUUUUCUGUAAACAGUGUGAUGGUGUGCUUUACCAAAAAGCUCCACUUGAGUCUCAUCUGUCCACAGGACGUUCUCCCAGAAGGAUUUUGGCUUGCUCAGGGAAGUUUUUGCAAACUCCAGACUUGCUUUUUUUAUGUCUCCGUGUCAGCAGCGGGGUCCUCCUGGAUCUACCAUAGCAUCCCUUUUCAUUGAGAUGGCGACGGAUAGUGCGAGCGGACACUGUUCUAGCCUGUGUCUGCAGGUCAGCUUGAAUUUGUUUGGGAAAAGGAUCGAGGUUCUUUAUCCACAAUUCUAUCAAUCCUUUGUUGCAGUCUUUCAUGAAUGUUUCUCUUCGGUCCAUGUCCAGGGAGGUUAGCUACAGUGUCAUGGGCUUUAAACUUCUUGAUGACAUUGCACACAGUAGACACAGGAACAUUUAGAUCUCUGGAGAUGGACUCGUAGCCUUGAGAUUCUCCAUGCUUUUCCACAAUCUUGGUUCUUAAAUCUUCUGAGAGUUAUUUGUUCUUCUUUCUUUUCUCCAUGCUCAGUGUGGUACACACCACACAAAAGGUUGAGUCAACUUUUCUCCAUUUUAACUGGCCGCAAGUGUGAUUUCUAUAUUGCCAGCAUCUGUUACUUGCUACAGGUGAGUUUAAUUACAAACUAAAGGAGCAUCACAUGCUUAGAAUACAUGUAUUUCUUAUAAUUUUGAAAAACUGCCAAUUAUUUUGUCCAGUCCAUUUGUGGAGUUGUGUGUAAAAUAAUUUCAGAUUUGUUUUUUGGGGGGGGCAUGG